rnacentral:misc_RNA from 1 species
UCUCCGUUGGUGAACCAGCGGAGGGAUCAUUACCGAAGUUACCUUCAAAACCCACUGUGAACCUUACCUCUUGCCGCGUUGUCUCGGCGGGAGGCGGUGUGCGUCGCGCGCCCUAGCGGGCCGCGCCGCUCCCGUCCCCGCCGGCAGCGCCAAACUCUAAAUGCACAGCGGACUAUACGUUCUGAUUUACAAAAAAAAACAAGUUAAAACUUUCAACAACGGAUCUCUUGGUUCUG